rnacentral:lncRNA from 1 species
CGCCGGGGCUGGAGGUGCCCCACCCCCCCAACUCCCCAGCCCUCCAUCCCUCCCGGAUGCAGCCAGGCACUCCCCACUUCUCUCUGCAAGAGCAGCCUCACCACCCCGACCGCAGGGGUCCAGGGACCCCGCAUUCCCUCCCCCGCCCUCAGGCCCCUGCAGGUGCUGAGCCCCAGGCAGGUCUGCAGUGCACGGCACUGCCGGGGGGACGGGGCAUGGACACACAUACCCAGUGGCCCCCAACUACCCACAAGAGCAGGGAGUGUGGCAGCUGCAGGGGUCCUCCCCACCCUGCCCCUCUGGGCACCUCCGGGUGUGCACGCAUGUUUGAGCGUGUGUGGACGUGAGUGUAUCUGUGCAUGUGUGCGAGCAUGUGCGUGUGUGUGCACGUGUGCAUGUGUGGAGUCUAUGAAUGUGUGUGUGUGAGCAUGUGUACACACGUGUGAAUGGAUGCAUAUGGGCAUACGUGAAUGUGGACUGUAUGGAUGUGUGGCAUGCGGGUGUGGGCGUGUGUGUGUGACGGUGUGGACUGUACAGAUAUGUGACGGUGUGGACUGUAUAGAUGUGUGUGUGUGUGUGACGGUGUAGACCAUAUAGAUGUGUGUGUGCAUGUGAUGGUGUGGACUGUAGAGAUGUGUGUGUGUAUGAUGGUGUGGACUAUAUGGAUGUGUGACGGUGUGGACUGUAUAGAUGUGUGUGUAUGACAGUGUGGACUGUAUAGAUGUGAGACGGUGUGGACUGUAUAGAUGUGUGUGUGUAUGACGGUGUGGACUGUAUGGAUGUGUGACGGUGUGGACUGUAUAGAUGUGUGCAUGUAACAGGUGUGGACUGUAUAGAUGUGUGUGUGUUUGUAUGACGGUGUGGACUGUAUGGAUGUGUGACGGUGUGGACCGUAUAGAUGUGUGUGUGUUUGUAUGACAGUGUGGACUGUACGGAUGUGUGACAGUGUGGACUGUAUAGACGUGUGUGUGUAUGACGGUGUGGACUGUAUAGAUGUGUGACGGUGUGGACUGUAUAGAUGUGUGCAUGUAACAGGUGUGGACUGUAUAGAUGUGUGUGUGUGUGACGGUGUAGACCAUAUAGAUGUGUGUGCAUGUGAUGGUGUGGACUGUAUAGAUGUGUGUGUGUAUGACAGUGUGGACUGUAUGGAUGUGUGACGGUGUGGACUGUAUAGAUGUGUGUGUGUUUGUAUGACGGUGUGGACUGUACGGAUGUGUGACGGUGUGGACUGUAUAGAUAUGUGUGUGUGUAUGACGGUGUGGACUGUAUGGAUGUGUGAAGGUGUGGACUGUACAGAUGUGUGUGUGUGUGUAUGACGGUGUGGACUGUAUGUGUGUGUUAUGGUGUGGACUGUAUGGAUGUGUGCAGGUGUGUGUGUGAGACGGUGUGGACUGUAUGGAUGUGUGCGGGUGUGUGUGUGAGACGGUGUGGACUGUAUGGAUGUGUGCGGGUGUGUGUGUGAUGGUGUGGACUGUAUGGAUGUGUGCGGGUGUGUGUGAUGGUAUGGACUGUAUGGAUGUGUGUGGGUGUGUGUGUGUGAUGGUGUGGACUGUAUGGAUGUGUGGGCAUGCGGGUGUGGGUGUGCAC